ensembl:antisense Gm14089 predicted gene 14089
AAGAAGCAGAAGGUGGCCUGUCUUAGGCCAGUGAGCAGCCAGCACGUGUGACAGGCUUGGGCUGAAGCAGGCAUGGAAAAGAGACAGGGAGAUUCUAAUGAAGUCAUCAGAGGUCAUGGGCUGGCAGGAACAAUAGCUAAGGUGACCCACAUUCCCUGCUUACUCCCAUCAGGUGUCCCGUUGUCUCAUCCUCUCUGGGGUUUCUGGACCUGUGAUGGCUGGCUGGCCCAGCUCUGCCUCUGGUUGGACAGUCACCACCUUCGAAGGGAACUUCUUUUAAGGCAACAGUGGUAAAGUUGGGACUCAUCCCAGUA